CAGAAACAAACACCCUUUGGUUAGCUUCCAUAAAUGAGUAACAGUGAUGCUUGUGGCCACAAGCUGUCCAUGCAAUCACGAGGAAUAACUAAAGGCGUGUAGUAAAAUGCGUGCAGGAGACAUCAGACCCAUUCUCAGCCCUACUGGCGCCACACUAAAUUUACUUCCCAAUAUUUCACAGUGAACUUGUUCACAAAUUUCUGGUUUACAGACUAACUACAAGAAGAAGGAUCCAAAGCUGACAUAUCUCUGGAGUGUACUGCCCAACUCUAAGCUGGGAGUGAUGAAUGUAACACCUGGAAUCAGUUCUACUUUAGCACACUCUAGAAUAAAUGCUCAGCUGUAGAAGGACUGACACCCAGGGUGUGAAGGAAGUGCAAAGCAUUUCAUAGUCACAGGACCAAGACUUGCAGCAGACUCACUGUCCAGCAUGCACUGCCCAGAUCAGCAAUUUUCACUUCUAUGUUCAUUAAAUCAGAAUCUUCCAGUUGAUUGCCAGGAUUACCUCCUAGAUGGAAAGGAGGGAGAUAAAUCAGGUCUUUCUCCAACAGGUAUGCAUCACUUACCACAGAAGGUACUUCUAGACCUACCUGCCUUGGAAGUUUUUCAACCUAGCUAUCAAAAAAUGCUUUAGACAGGUGAUUCCUUUUAUCACCAGUAAAGUACCACUUUUGAUUUUUGAGGGAAUGCAAAGGAAGGGCUGCUAACCAGUCACAGUCUAAGAGAAUGUUAUGGAAAACUGCAGCUUGCAGUGGAGUGGUGUGACCACAUGCACCUCUCCUGCUGAAAAGUGCCUGCCUGGCAAGAACUGUCAAGGUAACAUUUUCACGUAUAGACCCUGGAAAAGGGUAAUUUUUGUUCUACUGCUUUGUAACUGUCAACUUAUGUCUGGUAUCAUGCCUUUUUGUUCCCAACAAAAGACUCUACCAAUAAUUUAGCAUUUGUCUUUUACCCCAGGGCUUGAGGGACAAAACAGCAACAUCAUGGGAGAAAUGCUUGUGGGAGAAUAUUAUGGAAGAAAAUAUGAAGAAUCUCAUUGCUGGGUGACUAAAUCCCUUGAGAAACUCUCCAGCCCCAUGGCUUAUCAUGUAUUCACAUCGUUCUCUUAAAAUAAAUCAUGUCUCAAAAGGCCUCGAAGAGUACAUACAAGUCUCCCACAAACCUCAGGAAUACGGGAAAUAAAAGAGUAGAUGUGUCAUACAGUUUUUUGAUCAAACCAGCUGAUGCAGUCAUACAGGAAUUCAUGGCCGAUGACCCCAGGAUGAAGACUAUGAUGUGUUCCCCAGCCAGCACUCCCACAGUGCCCUCACCCAAAUAGAACUCAGUUCUCUCACCUGCUGUAAAGAUUUUUUCACAAAAGGCAAAGGCAAUCCCUGGGCUGCAUAGUUACCCAUCAGAAAUUGCAGAGAAGGACCCAGCGCCUCAAAUACCAAGCACGUAUGUGGGGAAGAGUCAUGGAUUCACCAACAGAGAGAAUAUGCUACUACCAGCUUCCUGCCCUUCACCAGAGCAGCCAAACCUCUCAUUAGCCAGCCUCCCCUCCUCCGGCCACCUUCAUGUUCUCUGCUCUAGCUACUGCUCUGCUCAUCCUCCUCGUCAGAGUGCAGCGGUUGGAUUUAUGUUAUCCUGUGACUCCCCAGCACAACCUUCUCUGAUUGAGAGCUGCAGUUCUAUUGGCAGAAGGAUAUGGAAGCCGUUCUCUCCAAUCAUUCUGAAAUCAUCUAAUAAACAGAUGAUGUUUUCUCCUGCCCGAUCCUUCUUCUUCAUACUGCUCACCUGAGGGAGAGAUUCCAAGACAACUGCAAUUAGAGACAUACAUGUGCAAAGAACAUCUUGCACCCAUUGUAUCCUCUUCUGCAGACUCUCUUCUAGGAGUUGGCAUUUUAUAACAAAUCUCAUGAAAACAAUAUCAAGCAAACCAGGCUCCCAGAACACAAGCAAACUGUGUUACUAUGGAGUUAAUUUCUGUGUGCUGUCUUCCUCUGACCAUGUGACAGCAUCACCUUCGUAGCAUCUGAAUAACUCAGACAACUGUGGUUGUCUUCAGUCAUCUGAAGGCUGCCUGUUCUACCAGGGUGCAGAGUGGCUUCUGCAUCUGGAGCAGUCGAGUGAAAAAGGGUUGGCUUUUGGUGCAACAGAGAUCUCUGGUACUGAGUGGUGGGGAAGAAGGGAACACAGAUCAUUCAUACAAGAACCAGAAGACAUCAAUAAACCCAGUACUUCAGAGGAUCAGAAAGAAACCAGAGAAAGUGGUUCUUCACACAGUGCAUGGAUGAUUGGUAGCAGUUUUUGUCACAGAAUGCUUCAGGUGCUGCAGCCCACAUUGGCUUGCAGGAAAGCAGGGCAGGACUCUUGAAAAUAAAUCCACUGGGAAUUACUGCUCAUCACAUCACCCUUGGCCCAAGAAAUCUUCAGCUGUAAACUAUUCUUGGCCAGGGUGGUAUUCAGUGGGAGCAGCACCUCGUGCUUAGCUUGUCUUUUUGCCCACGUGGAUGUCUGCUGCUGGUACGGGGUGCCUGGCUAGGCAGCAUCCCACUCUGCCCCAGCAGAGGUGCUGUUGGUAUCCCCAGCUCUUGCACCACCACUAGACAUUUUCAUGGCAAAUUCUACCAUGAGUUUGCUCCCACAGAGCACUGAUUCAGCUAAAGCAAUGGCUACUGUAUCUAUAACUUUUUAUAUAUAAAUAUAUAUUUGUAUUUAUUAUA